UCCGAACAAAAACGACAGCGA
rnacentral:piRNA from 1 species